GACGAACGCUGGCGGCGUGCUUAACACAUGCAAGUCGAACGGAAAGGCCCUGCUUUUGUGGGGUGCUCGAGUGGCGAACGGGUGAGUAACAGGUGAGUAACCUGCCCUUGACUUUGGGAUAACUUCAGGAAACUGGGGCUAAUACCGGAUAGGAGCUCCUGCUGCAUGGUGGGGGUUGGAAAGUUUAGGCGGGUGGGGAUGGACUGGCGGCUAAUCAGCUUGUUGGUGGGGUAGUGGUUUACCCAGGCUUUGACUGGUAGCCGGCCCGAGAGGGUGACCGGCCACAUUGGGACUGAGAGACGGACCAGACUCGUACGGGAGGCAGCAGGGGGGAAUAUUGCCCAACGGGCGGAAGCCUGAUGCAGCAACGUCGCGUUCGGGAUGACGGCCUUCUGGUUGUAAACCGCUUUCGCCUGUGACGAAGCGUGAGUGACGGUAAUGGGUAAAGAAGCACCGGCUAACUACGUG
rnacentral:rRNA from 1 species